UACGGAGGAUGCGAGCGUUAUCCGGAUUUAUUGGGUUUAAAGGGUGCGUAGGCGGGAUGCUAAGUCAGCGGUAAAGAUGCGGUGCUCAACGCCGUCGAGCCGUUGAAACUGGCGUUCUUGAGUGGGCGAGAAGUAUGCGGAAUGCGUGGUGUAGCGGUGAAAUGCAUAGAUAUCACGCAGAACUCCGAUUGCGAAGGCAGCAUACCGGCGCCCUACUGACGCUGAGGCACGAAAGCGUGGGUAUCGAACAGG
rnacentral:rRNA from 1 species